rnacentral:rRNA from 1 species
UACGUAGGUGGCAAGCGUUAUCCGGAAUUAUUGGGCGUAAAGCGCGCGCAGGCGGUUUCUUAAGUCUGAUGUGAAAGCCCCACGGCUCAACCGUGGAGGGUCAUUGGAAACUGGGGAACUUGAGUGCAGAAGAGAAAAGCGGAAUUCCACGUGUAGCGGUGAAAAUGCGUAGAGAUGUGGAGGAACACCAGUGGCGAAGGCGGCUUUUUUGGUCUGUAACUGACGCUGAGGCGCGAAAGCGUGGGGAGCAAACAGG